CAUCCCUCUGAUCCUUCACCAAGAUUUGCCUCCUCUUCUGAUCCUCAAUGAUCUGUGAAGCUCUAGCCAAUCUUUCUUUGGUGACGUCAUGCUCCUUUGUUGAAGAUGCUAAGGCCUGACUGACCUUCCCAUAGUAAGCAGUAUCCAUCUCAAAGCGCUUCGCUUCUAGGGCAUGUCGCUUGUCUUGAUCUUCCAUCUUCACUCUGAUCUCCUGAUUA
rnacentral:lncRNA from 1 species